rnacentral:rRNA from 1 species
GGGACCCUACGGGACGCAGCAGUGAGGAAUAUUGGUCAAUGGCCGGGAGGCUGAACCAGCCGAGUCGCGUGAGGGAAGACGGCCCUACGGGUUGUAAACCUCUUUUGUCAGGGAGCAAGGGGCGGGUCGAGACCUGCUGUGAGAGUACCUGAAGAAAAAGCAUCGGCUAACUCCGUGCCAGCAGCCGCGGUAAUACGGAGGAUGCGAGCGUUAUCCGGAUUUAUUGGGUUUAAAGGGUGCGCAGGCGGAGGCA